UACGUAGGUGGCAAGCGUUGUCCGGAAUUAUUGGGCGUAAAGCGCGCGCAGGCGGUUCUUUAAGUCUGAUGUGAAAGCCCACGGCUCAACCGUGGAGGGUCAUUGGAAACUGGAGAACUUGAGUACAGAAGAGGAAAGCGGAAUUCCACGUGUAGCGGUGAAAUGCGUAGAGAUGUGGAGGAACACCAGUGGCGAAGGCGGCCUUCUGGACCAGCACUGACACUCAAGCACGAAAGCGUGGGGAGCAAACAGG
rnacentral:rRNA from 1 species